rnacentral:lncRNA from 1 species
CCAACAACCUCCAUACCACCAUACUCCGACCAUCAACCACUACUUCUGCUCACGACCAUCGCCGCCAGCCCGCCGCCUUCGUUUCAGUCCAACUAAAUAACCAAAUUAGACUGCAUUCGGUCGAGCCUAACAAUAACUUCUGCAGCGAUUUAGGUUAUCACUUGAUCGUAUCUCACUGCAGCGAUUGUUACGAUGAUCGGUUGUUCUCUUGAGAUAGUGAUACUCAGCAGAGUUCCAGGAUCAGGAUCACGGACCAUCAUAGGAUCCUCAUGCUAACAGUUGCUUUCAUUGAAUUUAAUGUCACUUUGCAGGGAUGUCUAGCAGGAUCCGCUCUUAGCAUCACAAUCAAGGGACGCGUCUUUACAACUUUGGCAUAUGCUUAAUCAGAGAUGAACGUUGUGAAGGAUAUGGAAACUUGGCAUGAUUUAAGGGCUAUAAUUUAGGCUAGAUUUACUUUUAUUUCUAAAGGGGUAAUGAGCUGAUUAUUAGUUUGUUUACCUAAAAUAGGCCACUCACACUUGUAUAUAUAACACUCUUCCCCAUUCGGAAGACACACAACACAUUUCUCACACGCUUAGACACUCGAAACUAUAGUGAUCCUUGUACUCAGCUCAUUAUCAUCCGAAGUUGUAACCAUUUUUUCUUAUAUUGAAGUUUGGUGAUUGGUAGUUGCCAUCACCCGAGUUUU